UACGAAGGGGGCUAGCGUUGCUCGGAUUUACUGGGCGUAAAGGGCGCGUAGGCGGACAUUUAAGUCAGGGGUGAAAUCCCGGGGCUCAACCUCGGAACUGCCUUUGAUACUGGGUGUCUUGAGUGUGAGAGAGGUGUGUGGAACUCCGAGUGUAGAGGUGAAAUUCGUAGAUAUUCGGAAGAACACCAGUGGCGAAGGCGACACACUGGCUCAUUACUGACGCUGAGGCGCGAAAGCGUGGGGAGCAAACAGG
rnacentral:rRNA from 1 species